rnacentral:rRNA from 1 species
UACGUAGGGUGCGAGCGUUGUCCGGAAUUAUUGGGCGUAAAGAGCUCGUAGGCGGCCAGUUGCGUCUGCUGUGAAAUCCCGGGGCUCAACCCCGGGCGUGCAGUGGAUACGGGCUGGCUAGAGGCAGGCAGGGGAGAACGGAAUUCCCGGUGUAGCGGUGAAAUGCGCAGAUAUCGGGAGGAACACCGGUGGCGAAGGCGGUUCUCUGGGCCUGUACUGACGCUGAGGAGCGAAAGCGUGGGGAGCGAACAGG